UAGGGAUCAUAUUCCUGGUUUCAGGGUU
rnacentral:piRNA from 1 species